ACCGGGCAAAAUUGGCCUUUCUUUAUAUCUUUGCUCUAUUCUCGUUACACGAUAAUAAGCAAAGAGGGGCAGCUGUUGUAGGCCAAUUUUAGCCCAUUUACAUCAAAACCCAAUUUAGCCUUACCUAACCCACUAAAAUUAAACCCAAAACCCAAAAUCUUAACUACCCAAAGCCCAAUUUACAUCAAAACCCCAAUGGCCCAAACCCUAAGCCCAAAUCAAAAUAAAAAAAACCUAGCCACUCCUUUUCCACCACCAACUCCACUAGCCACACCUUUUCCACCACCAACUCCACUAGCCACUCUUUUUCCACCACCAACUCCACUAGCCACACAUUCUCCACCACCACUUGUACCUACAAAUGAAGACAUAAACAAUAAAAAAAAUAUUUUGUAAAUGGCUAUAUAAGCCUUCUCAUAUUUUGUAUAUGGGGG
rnacentral:lncRNA from 1 species